CCUACGGGAGGCAGCAGUGGGGAAUAUUGGACAAUGGGGGGAACCCUGAUCCAGCCAUGCCGCGUGUGUGAAGAAGGCCCUCGGGUUGUAAAGCACUUUCAGUGAGGAAGAACGCCUGGUGGUUAAUACCCAUCAGGAAAGACAUCACUCACAGAAGAAGCACCGGCUAACUCCGUGCCAGCAGCCGCGGUAAUACGGAGGGUGCGAGCGUUAAUCGGAAUUACUGGGCGUAAAGCGCGCGUAGGUGGCUUGAUAAGCCGGUUGUGAAAGCCCCGGGCUCAACCUGGGAACGGCAUCCGGAACUGUCAAGCUAGAGUGCAGGAGAGGAAGGUAGAAUUCCCGGUGUAGCGGUGAAAUGCGUAGGGAUCGGGAGGAAUACCAGUGGCGAAGGCGGCCUUCUGGACUGACACUGACACUGAGGUGCGAAAGCGUGGGUAGCAAACAGGAUUAGAUACCCUGGUAGUC
rnacentral:rRNA from 1 species